rnacentral:rRNA from 1 species
AGCAGCCGCGGUAAUUCCAGCUCCAAUAGCGUAUAUUAAAGUUGUUGCAGUUAAAAAGCUCGUAGUUGAAUUUCGGGAUUGGCGCAUCGGUCGUGCCUCACGGGGUAUGAACUGGUGCAGUCAAUUCCUCACCUUCUGGAGAACCGCGAUGUCCUUAAUUGGAUGCCGCGGGGAACCAGGACCUUUACUUUGAAAAAAUUAGAGUGUUUAAAGCAGGCAUUUUUGCUUGAAUACAUUAGCAUGGAAUAAUAAAAUAGGACGGCAUGGUUCUAUUUUGUUGGUUUCUAGGACCACCGUAAUGAUUAAUAGGGAUAGUUGGGGGCAUUAGUAUUCAAUUGUCAGAGGUGAAAUUCUUGGAUUUAUUGAAGACUAACUACUGCGAAAGCAUUUGCCAAGGAUGUUUUCAUUAAUCAAGAACGAAAGUUAGGGGAUCGAAGACGAUCAGAUACCGUCGUAGUCUUAACCAUAAACUAUGCCGACUAGGAAUCAGACGAUGUUAAUUUUUUAAUGACUCGUUUGGCACCUUACG